rnacentral:rRNA from 1 species
UGCCAGCCGCCGCGGUAAUACGGAGGGGGCGAGCGUUGUUCGGAAUUACUGGGCGUAAAGCGCACGUAGGCGGAUUGGUCAGUUGGGGGUGAAAUCCCGAGGCUUAACCUCGGAACUGCCCUCAAUACUGCCAAUCUAGAGAUCGGAAGAGGUAAGUGGAAUUCCUAGUGUAGAGGUGAAAUUCGUAGAUAUUCGGUGGAACACCAGUGGCGAAGGCGACUAACUGGACUGAUACUGACGCUGAGGUGCGAAAGUGUGGGGAGCAAACAGGAUUAGAUA